CAAGUUCUCAACCGCACCAGAUUGCUUGCGUGUGGCUUGGAAGUGGAUUUGCAGGCCUUUAUGUUCUGCUCCUCUAAAAUGAAUUAGUGGUGGUCUAAUCCUACUAGUACAGGUGUGAUAAAACUAUCUAUGCCUUCUAGUAUCUAUCAUGUUGCCACUUCUAAAAUGAAAUGAUUGGUGA
rnacentral:misc_RNA from 1 species